CUGGGAGAAAUGUAUCGAGGGCUUCCGAUCCGGCCGCAUUGAACCGCGAUGCUGACAACGCGCAGUUUGAACCGGCGCGACGGACUUCGGUCUGUGGCGAGUGGCGAACGGGUGAGUAAUGUAUCGGAACGUGCCUAGUAGCGGGGGAUAACUACGCGAAAGCGUAGCUAAUACCGCAUACUGCCCUUCGGGGGAAAGCGGGGACCUUCUGGCCCCUGCACUAUUAGAGCGGCCGAUAUCGGAUUAGCUAGUUGGUGGGGUAAUCGCCCACCAAGGCGACGAUCCGUAGCUGGUUUGAGAGGACGACCAGCCACACUGGGACUGAGACACGGCCCAGACUCCUACGGGGGCAGCAGUGGGGAAUUUUGGACAAUGGGGGAAAACCCUGAUCCAGCCAUCCCGCGUGUGCGAUGAAGGCCUUCGUAAAGCACUUUUGGCAGGAAAGAAACGGCACGGGAUAAUACCCCGUGCAACUGACGGUACCUGCAGAAUAAGCACCGGCUAACUACGUGCCAGCAGCCGCGGUAAUACGUAGGUGCAAAAGCGUUAAUCGGAAUUACUGGGCGUAAAGCGUGCGCAGGCGUCUGGAAAGAAAGACGGAAUCCCAGAGCUUAACUUUGGAACUGCAUUUUUAACUACCGAGCUAGAGUGUGUCAGAGGGAGGUGGAAUUCCGCGUGUGUAGCAGUGAAAUGCGUAGAUAUGCGGAGGAACACCGAUGGCGAAGGCAGAUUCUGGGAUAACACUGACGCUCAUGCAUCGAAAGCGUGGGGAGCAAACAGGAUUAGAUACCUGGUAGUCCACGCCCUAAACGAUGUCAACUAGCUGCUGGGGCCUUCGGGCCUGGUAGCGCAGCUAACGCGUGAAGUUGACCGCCUGUGUAUAGCGGUCGCAAGAUUAAAACUCAAAGUGAAUUGACGGGGACCCGCACAAGCGGUGGGUGAUGUGGAUUAAUUCGAUGCAACGCGAAAACCUUACCUACCCUUGACAUGUCUGGAAUCCCGAAGAGAUUUGGGAGUGCUCAAGAGAACCGAACACAGGUGCUGCAUGGCUGUCGUCAGCUCGUGUCGUGAGAUGUUGGGUUAAGUCCUGCAACGAGCUGGCAACCUUCGUCAUUAGUUGCUACGAAAGGGCACUCUACCGAGACUGCCGGUGACAAACCGGAGGAAGGUGGGGAUGACGUCGUCCUCAUGGCCCUUAUGGGUAGGGCUUCACACGUCAUACAAUGGUCGGGACAGAGGGUCGCCAACCCGCGAGGGGGAGUCAACUCUGCGAAACCCGAUCGUGUCCGGAUCGCAGUCUGCAACUCGACUGCGUGAAGUCGGAAUCGCUAGGGGUAAUCGCGGAUCAGCAUGUCGCGGGGAAUACGUUCCCGGGUCUUGUACACACCGCCCGUCGCUGAUGGGAGUGGUUUUACCAGGUUAGUUAGCCUAACCGUAAGGGGAGGGCGAUAAUACGGUAGGAUUCAUGACUGGGGUGAAGUCGUAACAAGGUAG
rnacentral:rRNA from 1 species